AGUGAACGCUGGCGGUAGGCCUAACACAUGCAAGUCGAACGGCAGCACAGUAAGGGCUUGCUCUUACGGGUGGCGAGUGGCGGACGGGUGAGGAAUACAUCGGAAUCUACUUUUUCGUGGGGGAUAACGUAGGGAAACUUACGCUAAUACCGCAUACGACCUACGGGUGAAAGCAGGGGAUCUUCGGACCUUGCGCGAUUGAAUGAGCCGAUGUCGGAUUAGCUAGUUGGCGGGGUAAAGGCCCACCAAGGCGACGAUCCGUAGCUGGUCUGAGAGGAUGAACAGCCAAAAUGGGACUGAGACACCGGCCAGACUCCUACGGGAGGCAGCAGUUGGGAAUAUUGGACAAUGGGCGCAAGCCUGAUCCAGCCAUACCGCGUGGGUGAAGAAGGCCUUCGUGUUGUAAAGCCCUUUUGUUGGGAAAGAAAAGCAGCAGGUUAAUACCCCGCUGUUCUGACGGUACCCAAAGAAUAAGCACCGGCUAACUUCGUG
rnacentral:rRNA from 1 species